CCUACGGGGGACAGCAGUGGGGAAUAUUGGGCAAUGGGCGCAAGCCUGACCCAGCAACGCCGCGUGAAGGAAGAAGGCUCUCGGGUUGUAAACUUCUUUUAUCAGGGACGAAGCAAGUGACGGUACCUGAUGAAUAAGCCAUGGCUAACUACGUGCCAGCAGCCGCGGUAAUACGUAGGUGGCAAGCGUUAUCCGGAUUUACUGGGUGUAAAGGGCGUGUAGGCGGGAAAGCAAGUCAGAUGUGAAAACCAUGGGCUCAACCUGUGGCCUGCAUUUGAAACUGUUUUUCUUGAGUACUGGAGAGGCAGACGGAAUUCCUAGUGUAGCGGUGAAAUGCGUAGAUAUUAGGAGGAACACCAGUGGCGAAGGCGGUCUGCUGGGCUUUAACUGACGCUGAGGCUCGAAAGUGUGGGGAGCAAACAGGAUUAGAUACCCCUGUAGUC
rnacentral:rRNA from 1 species